GUCCGCAUAGCUCAGUUGGUGGCAGCACUCGCGUGGUAAGCGAGAGGUCGUCGGUUCGAUUCCGGCUGCGGGCC
rnacentral:tRNA from 1 species